UACGUAGGGGGCAAGCGUUGUCCGGAAUCAUUGGGCGUAAAGAGCGUGUAGGCGGUCUGUUGCGUCGGCUGUGAAAACCCGGGGCUCAACUCCGGGCCUGCAGCCGAUACGGGCAGACUAGAGUUCGGCAGGGGAGACUGGAAUUCCUGGUGUAGCGGUGAAAUGCGCAGAUAUCAGGAGGAACACCGGUGGCGAAGGCGGGUCUCUGGGCCGAUACUGACGCUGAGGAGCGAAAGCGUGGGGAGCGAACAGG
rnacentral:rRNA from 1 species